GGGGGUUUAGCUUUGUGGCACAAGCGUCUGCUUGGCAAGCACAAAGUUGAGAGUUCAAUCCCCA
rnacentral:tRNA from 1 species